AAAACAAAUCAAAUGAAAUAAAGUAGGAGUCCUUUUGGGUCAGCCCCACCCCCUGUUGUUUGACAACUUGGAAAUGGUCAAGAUCCCCACCCCUUAACCAUAUAUAUUCUUGUACUGGACAAUAAAACAAAUCAAAUGCAAAAGAAGGCGAGUCCCCAGGGGUCACUCCCACCCCUUGUUGUUUGAGAACUUAUAAACGAUUGAGA
rnacentral:lncRNA from 1 species